rnacentral:misc_RNA from 1 species
UAUGUUGUUUUUGAGGAAGUUUAGAAAUAUUUAACACUGUAUUUGCUAAUACUUGUUUUAUUUUUAAGUACAUCAUAUCUUAGUUGAACGUAAAACAAUCACAGAUUCACUGAAUUACCGUUUAAGUCCAAGUUUCUUUAAUACAAUAACAAUGAUAUGGCAUCACAAUAUGUGCAUCUGUUUUUUAGUUGAUACAAAAUCUAUAACAUAAGUACUGUGAUAUGUAAAUAAUAACUAAGAAAAAAAAAAUUGUUUUGUUGUGUUCGCAGGCAUACAAUUUGAUUCGAUAUGCCUAAAUUUUUGAAUGCUAGGAGUGAGAAGCGAAGACGCCAGAGAAGAAAACAUGAAAAUAAGCCAAGGUUUAAUUGUUUGGAUUCAAAACAAGAAAAUAGCGCUAGAACUAAAACAUGUAACGCUCAACCAAAUGUUGUAGUAAAUAGUCAAUCCGAAUAUGACAUUCCCAUAACGCAUGUAAAUUCUAUGGAUGUGUUGUCCCCGAAGAACAGUUCUACAAUUGAAAACAGCAACUUUCAAUCAAUGGCUGUAGUAAAAAGUGAACCAUUAGAAUACAAUGAUGACAUCUACUUAACGCAGCUAAACUCUAAGGAUGUGUGUACCUCUAACCGCAGGAAGGUUGGCCAAUUGACAUAUGAUAAAGAUCAAGAUUUUCUAUACAUUAAGUCUGAAGAGAUCGGUGAGGAUAAGAAUCCAGAAGUAGCUGGUAAUGUCAUGCUAUACGAAAUAAAUGCAAGAAAUCCGGUAGUACUGAAUGUAAAUCAACUUAAUACUGAGUCUGGCAAACAUACAAAAAAUCAUGCGUCUGAAAUUGCAGUUACACAACAUCUACAACUUCCACAUUCUGAAAAUUCAAAAAUUCGAAAACAAAAUACAAUAUCAAAAAUUUUUACUACAAAUGGCACAACAACCAACCGAUUAAUCCCUAAAACACCAUAUUUUUUGGAAAUACCCGGAACGUCAAGCUUACUACAGAAAGCAUCGAGCGGAAGAAAAGUGGCUUCUUUAAAAAUAAACAAAACUCCCCAUGCAAAAAUCCUAACAAACUUCAGCGAAGGCACGAGUAAAUGCGCUUGUCAUUCAAAUCCAAUGAAAAACGUUGAUGUUCAUAGCAAUUUAGAACUAAAGGAUUUCUUUGAAAGAAUGUUUGAGGAGACGCGCAAAUUGAAACUCGAAGACCGUCAAACGAUUAAAACAGAAUUGCUCAAAGCAGUUUCUCAAGCUCAAGAAGAUGUGGAGGCUGGAAAGUUUUGUGAAAGGUGCUAUACAAUGUUGGCACAACCAAAGAAGAGAUGUUGACGAAUAAUUGUGGAAAUCUCAAAUUACUUAAUUGAUUUCCAUACACGCUUCCAAAAGUUUUGCGUUAUCUGCCUGAUAAGCAUGCACAAGACUUCAAACGAGCUGCAGUUCUUUACUGGCGUAGACACCGCGUACGCGGCUAUAGCAGGAGCCGAGCUAAAGUUAUACUAUAUUCGAAAAGGGGACCAUUGAUGAUUUAAAAUGCUGAUAUCUCAUUUCAUAACUUGACCAUAACUGUUCCAUAACGUCCCAGAAAAUAGAAUUUAAAUGUGACCUUGAUAACCGCAAUGAAAAAUGAAAACGGGGUAAUUUGGUAAUAUACGACAAUAACAAAAUGAAAUCUCGAGGUCUGGAUCUCUCAAAUGGAACAAAAUCUAAUGAAACUCAUACAAUUAUUUAAAAAAAAAUGUCCUUCAAUAAAACUUGUUAUGCGUACUCGUUUGAAUUGAAGAAAUGUCAGUAUUAAAAGAAUACAACCUUUUAGUGACCGAUCGAGUUCAGUUGAAAAGCAAUAAGUGAAAAGGAAAGGACCUCAUAAUGGACACAAUGAACAUUGAUCAGUACUCGUUUUAUUGACUUGAAGUUGUGGGCAGUAAGGCGGUAUAUUUUCUGUGCUGAAGGUCAUUCUUAACAUCCGGUCACACUUAGUAACACCGACCUAGCUGGUCCCAAGCCCAUGUUGAAAAAAAAGGAUGCGGGUUGGUAUGGUGGAAUGACUACUAGUAAGCGUCUCGGUCUCGGUCGUCUGGCAGCCGCAACCAGUACACAGGUCACUGUUACUAAUGCCGAAAACAAUCAGCUUCUCAAUACUGAAAAACAAAUACAAAAUCCGGAAGCAAAAUACCAAGCCCCCAGCGAGGUACCCAACAAAAUAGCUAGCAGUAGUUUAACCGCUCCAAGCAUCGAUAAUUAGUUUGUAUUCACCGCUGAUGGCGACGCUGGGCGUUCGGGAGGGAGUAUGUCAGCGGAGUGCAAAAUUUCUUCCUGGCGGUGUUCAGCGAUGGUCUAAUGGCCCUAAUCCUGUCGUCGUCCUCGGACAUAUGUGCCUUUAAGUUACAUAAUGCGCGCUUCGAAAAAGGUAAACCUGCAAAAUCUCCCCUGGAGAGUUUCCCAACUACCGUUGCGCAUUCUAAAAACAUCACAGCGUGCGAACAGACUAUACCGCUAUCGGCACGAAUAACCACUGAGAAACAUCUUGGCGCUCCUUUGUUUAAUAAUAAGGAACGUUGAAGAAUUCAUACCACAAUGAGCUCGUCGGGACACCCUGGUAACUCCUACUCGCAAUGGUUAACAGGAACAGGCGAUGCCGAGGAGCGAACUCCUUUUCAGGAGUAUAAGCCUUUUAGUAGAAAUACUGUUUAUGCAAAUUAAAUGUCGCUUGUCCCAAAUAUCUGCAUAUCAAGCCUGCGGAAGAAAAGGAAAAGCAACUAAAGUAUAUUCCUUCUCAGUAGAGAGAUGUCACAUAUGAGGAAGUUAGUUUCAAACGUAGGUGCAACUAGAUAAAGCAGAAUAGUCAGAACGCGGUGCUGGUAAAUUUCAAUAUGGAGGCUAAAAAGGACGAAAAUCGGGCUGGGAUACCAGUCCAAACGUCGGUGGGAAAAGUGGUUGCUACCACCGGCGGGCACAGCGAGUUUACAAACUGUGUCGCCAGUGGCCAUACUUCUGCUGUGAAGGGAGCAGUUCACAGUAGUAGUGCUAUUGCCAUAUUCGGUUUACAAUGUAGAGGUGCCACAGUCCAUGUAGAUAUGGACCUUGCAUGUAUUGACAGCGUCAACAUAACUGAAGAGUAAGUAUUGCCAGGCUCUUCAGGGGAUGCUGAUUCGCCGAAAAAGCCUAGGUUUAGGUCAAAACCCAAUAAGGAGGGGUUAAAAGUGAAAGCGAUCUACAAAGCUGCGGUCGAAGUCAACGGAACACUUAGCUGCAAGGAGGAAAUGUUGGCUUGGGCUACAGGAAAAAUGGAAGAAGGCCGAGCUUAUUAUGCAUCGCGACCGCUGAAAGCGAAACAGCGAGGCCAAAUGACCGACCGAAGAGGAAAUACGACGAUGUAAGACAAAAUGUCAGGCUCAGGGUCGACGGAAUAAUCGCAGGCAAUUGGCAGCUGUCCGAUGAAAGCGAAACAGCGCGUCCGUCUAAACGACAUAAAUGGAAAGACGAUGCUGUAAGGCCAAAUGUCAGUCUCGAUCGUGUUAGAAUUGACUACAACCAGCCAUACCAUACGUCGCGGCAAAAAUUCACGUUCACGGAUCCGAGAUUCGCAAAUCGGGUCGACGAAAGAAUUUCAGCCAAAUGGCAGCUGUCCGCUGAAAGCGAAACGCUCUGGCAUACUGAGAAAAUCGAAUACAACUGGCCAUACAAUACUUCACGGCAGCAAUUCACUUCGACAGAUACGGAAUUCGCAAACUGGAUCGAUGAAACAGCUUGCCCGUAUAAACGACCGAAGAGAGAAGAUGAUGCUGUAAGGCCAAACGACUGCCUCGAUCGAGAGAAACCCUCAACAUCUAGGGCGGCAGCAACGGCCAGCGAGAUAGCCAAGAGGCCCUAAUUGACCGUAGCCACCCCAUGCGCUCUUCGCAAGAAUCGAUAGGGCUCCGGGCACGCUUAUACCAAAUUUCGAUGGACGGGUGAGGACAGGUCCUCACUUCUAUGGGUAAAAGAAGUGAUUAGGAACCUUCAAGGCCUGUGGAAGGGUGCCCUUCUGGACAUUGUGGACCGUAGCUGCAUUCUCAUUCCUCCGAAAGCGAAGGUGCUCAUUCCACGAACGGUAGAACCGGAGGAUGCACUGCGGCUAUUCAGAAGAAAUAAAUUCUGAUAUGCCGACGGAAGAUUGGAGGUCUUGAAGGUUACCAACUCCGACAAGAGAGAUGUCAGCCAAUUGUACUUUCUUCAAAUAAAUAAGUCGUCCGAAGACAUUUUAAACGGCCAUCCAGACGAUAACAAUGAAAAUACGUUGAAGGAUAACGAGAUGGAGGAGGAUCUAGAAGAUAUUCUAUAGGCCACCUUGAAGCUCCAUGACGCAAGUAAGGGUGAGCCGGUGACUCAACCCGACCCCGAGAAGAAACCCGAAUUUAACAGUGAAGGUUCUUCAAACAUACCUGAAUAAUAGCAAGUAGCCUCUGACUUUAUCUAGACUAAAGUCACCAACAUACUAGUCGUACUUCCCGAGUUAAACAAACAAGAUGACCUGACUGUGGUAGACGUAAAAGAUGGCAAGAAUUAGACACACACCUUUCAUCCAGUUACAUGACCCACGGUUAUGAAGUGCCACUAUUCCAGUAGAACUCAGAAGGUUGGUGGAUGCGGCAGAUAAGACGAAGAACUCUUUUGAUAGGCACGGACGGCAAUGAGCAUAAACUCAUACUCGGUAUCUUAGGAUUUUAAAAAGUAUCAUUCGGAAUUCAAUUCGUCUCGUCAAUCUGAUCAUAUUGAUACACAAACAUAAUUCUAUAUCUUCAUUGAUGCAUUGUGCAGAAUACGCUGAAAAUCGUUACGUUACACCUAUAGAAGAAAAAAGGGCGCCGAACGUCACACCUCAAUAUAAUCUGUAAUAGUAAUAUUUGAAGGAAUUAAUACGCGCCGCGACUUCUCUGUUAGCGGCUGUUUACAAAGUCGAAUUUUUCUAAAAAAGCGAUUUAGAGAAUCACGUGCCAAUUUAAUAGUUCGAGCUAUGGAAGUUGGACUGUGUUUAAAAUAUAUAAAUAAUUUUUUAAUUUUUCUUAAGUUUAAUUUUAUUUGCCAUUACAGAUCUAUAUUUUCUAUCUAUUUACACCUAAUAAGCCCAUGUGCCAUUGAACAGAACAAAUAAUAAUCGGACGGUGCAAUACUUUGGGUAUACCAUAA